rnacentral:rRNA from 1 species
UACGGAGGGUGCAAGCGUUAUCCGGAUUCACUGGGUUUAAAGGGUGCGUAGGUGGGCAGGUAAGUCAGUGGUGAAAUCCCCGGGCUUAACCCGGAAACUGCCAUUGAUACUAUCUGUCUUGAAUACCGUGGAGGUGAGCGGAAUAUGUCAUGUAGCGGUGAAAUGCUUAGAUAUGACAUAGAACACCAAUUGCGAAGGCAGCUCACUACGCGAAUAUUGACACUGAGGCACGAAAGCGUGGGGAUCAAACAGG